UGUUCUCAGUCUCUGCUUUGUUUUCAUUCCAAGACCCACAGGGCACAAUCUCAGUCCACUUACUGUGUUAUGGCUCUCCUCAAUUAAGGGUGGCAGGGGGUAUCUCCCAGGCCGUGCAGAUCCAAAUAACACUCGGUUGCCAGCUGACGCUGUCCUUGGGACCUGGUGGAAAUACAAUUUCCAACCAUGAAGGAGCCCACUGAGGCCAAGGCUUUUCUCCCCUUGAUCUUUCUCCUUCUCCUCUAUCACUCUAUCUCUUUGGACUCAAGAAGAUCCACCGAGAUGACCACCAGACAUCCAAAUUAAGACCGCGCAGCAAAUAAUUGGCAACUUGGUCAGUUUCAGGAGGAAGCUGCAAAGAGAAAAACAAGAACUGGUUGGAACCAACUAGGCCCAAGAUGGCAGAAGAUUUGACUUCCAGUAGACCUUCAUCCUCAUUAUAUGCUCACUGUAAUAUACUAGCAUGCUAAAUGACAUACCAAUGCCAAGACAGUUGACAGUUGCCAUGACAACAACUGGAAAAGCUCAUACAGGCCUGAAAAGGAGUGUUGCAUUAGUUCCAGGUUCAAACCAUACCCCUGUUCUCAGAUAAGUCAUGAAUAUUCCUCCCACUCUUUCCAAUUCCCUCCCUUUUACCUCGACCCUUGUAUGCAUAUGGUAUCUCCAUCCCAAGUGGGUUGAGAAGUUGAUCUGUGAACUAAGUUUCCGCUUCUCCAUUCUUUCACCAUUGAAUAAAAUUUGUGCUGUUUCAGUCUCA